ACCGCCUGUAGGGGUGCUCCACGACUGAACCAAACAGGAUUCAUCCAAGGCUCCAGGGCUGCUAGGCAGGCUUCAUCAAGAUUCAGAAUGCGGAUUCCCAUCUGUCUCAGAAGGGAAAGCACCUCGUGUAUGCACUUCGUGAAAGUGCGGGGAGCUAGAGACAGCCCGAAGGGAAGGACUGUAUAUUGGUAAGCCACACCCUCGAACACAAAUCUCAAGAAUCAUCUGUGAUGGGAGGCUAUCUGGAUGUGAAAAUAAGCGUCUUUCAGGUCCAGCGAGAAGAACCAGCGAACUGCAGUGAGUAGCCGUGUUUUAUUAUCCCCAACACCCACUUGGACACUCCGGGGAUGGCCUGCCAGGCCUCGGCCCAUGUGACAAGAGGCUGGAUAGCGUCGAGUGGCAGGCCGCUGGUUA